CAAGGUUAAAACUCAAAUGAAUUGACGGGGGCCCGCACAAGCGGUGGAGCAUGUGGUUUAAUUCGAUGCAACGCGAAGAACCUUACCUGGUCUUGACAUCCACGGAAGUUUUCAGAGAUGAGAAUGUGCCUUCGGGAACCGUGAGACAGGUGCUGCAUGGCUGUCGUCAGCUCGUGUUGUGAAAUGUUGGGUUAAGUCCCGCAACGAGCGCAACCCUUAUCCUUUGUUGCCAGCGGUCCGGCCGGGAACUCAAAGGAGACUGCCAGUGAUAAACUGGAGGAAGGUGGGGACGACGUCAAGUCAUCAUGGCCCUUACGACCAGGGCUACACACGUGCUACAAUGGCGCAUACAAAGAGAAGCGACCUCGCGAGAGCAAGCGGACCUCAUAAAGUGCGUCGUAGUCCGGAUUGGAGUCUGCAACUCGACUCCAUGAAGUCGGAAUCGCUAGUAAUCGUGGAUCAGAAUGCCACGGUGAAUACGUUCCCGGGCCUUGUACACACCGCCCGUCACACCAUGGGAGUGGGUUGCAAAAGAAGUAGGUAGCUUAACCUUCGGGAGGGCGCUUACCACUUUGUGAUUCAUGACUGGGGUGAAGUCGUAACAAGGUAACCGUAGGGGAACCUGCGGUUGGAUCACCUCCUUACCUUAAAGAAGC
rnacentral:rRNA from 1 species